rnacentral:rRNA from 1 species
UGAGGAAUUUUCCACAAUGGGCGAAAGCCUGAUGGAGCAAUACCGCGUGGAGGAAGACGGAUCGUGGUCUGUAAACUCCUUUUCUCAGAGAAGAAUUUUUGACGGUAUCUGAGGAAUAAGCACCGGCUAACUCUGUGCCAGCAGCCGCGGUAAUACAGGGGGUGCAAGCGUUGUCCGGAAUGAUUGGGCGUAAAGCGUUCGUAGGUGGUUCUUAAAGUCUACUGUCAAAUCCCAGAGCUCAACUUUGGACAGGCAGUAGAGAACUCAAGGGCUAGAGGACGGUAGGGGUAGAGGGAAUUCCUAGUUAAGCGGUGAAAUGCACAGAGAUUAGGAAGAACACCGGUGGCGAAAGCGCUCUACUGGGCCGUUACUGACACUGAGGGACGAUAGCUGUGGGAGC